rnacentral:sRNA from 1 species
AUUCUGCCCAUGCGGGGAAGGAUGAGAAGCUUCGACCAAGGUUCGACUCGAGCGCCAGCGAGAGAGCGUUGCCGCAGGCAACGACCCGAAGGGCGAAGCGCGCAACACUGAGUAAUCCUUCCCCCACCACCA